rnacentral:rRNA from 1 species
CAUAUUUUAGAGCUCGAGUCAUAACUACAAAUUAAGAAGUUAUUACUUUCAAAUCCACCUUCAUUAGCAAUUUAAGAGCCAAAUCCAUGUAAAUAAAUCUAUUGUAACCCAUCACUACUUGAUUAUAAGCUGCACCUUGAUCUGAGGUAUUGUAUUAUAGUAAAUUAUGAGCAUUAUUAUUCUAAUGAAACAUUCAACUACGACGAUAUACAAACUAAUAUAAACCAAGUAAAGAAAAUCGUGGACUAUCGAUCACAGGACAGGUUCCUCUGAAGAGACUAAAACACCGCCAAAAUCUUUAAGUUUAAAGAUUAUAACUAAUACUAAUUUAAGCUUUAAAUUUACAUUUUA